rnacentral:rRNA from 1 species
UACAGAGGGGGCAAGCGUUGUUCGGAAUUACUGGGCGUAAAGGGCGCGUAGGCGGCCUGCUAAGUCGAACGUGAAAUCCCUGGGCUCAACCCAGGAACUGCGUCCGAUACUGGUUGGCUUGAAUCCGGGAGAGGGAUGUGGAAUUCCAGGUGUAGCGGUGAAAUGCGUAGAUAUUGGGAGGAACACCAGUGGCGAAGGCGGCUCACUGGACCGGAACUGACGCUGAGGCGCGAAAGCGUGGGGAGCAAACAGG